UCCAAGCGAUCUUCUAAGAUCACGAAAUCAAAUAAUAAAAAUCUCUUUCUACAUGUGUGAUGAACUUGAUGAUAUGAGUACUAGAGUGGGUAGAAUUUGAUUCAUAUUCCAGUGUUUUAUAAAUUCGACUUUUCUCCAACAUAUCAUUAGUUAGAGAGAUGGCCACAAAAGAGAUAUUGGCGGACGAUAUUGGGGACGUAUCACCACUCCCGAAAUACUAAAAGAG
rnacentral:lncRNA from 1 species